rnacentral:rRNA from 1 species
UACGGAGGGGGCGAGCGUUAUUCGGAAUUACUGGGCGUAAAGCGCGCGUAGGCGGACCUGCAAGUCGGGGGUGAAAGCCCGAGGCUCAACCUCGGAACUGCCUUCGAUACUGCGGGUCUCGAGUCCGGGAGAGGUGAGUGGAAUUCCUAGUGUAGAGGUGAAAUUCGUAGAUAUUAGGAAGAACACCAGUGGCGAAGGCGGCUCACUGGCCCGGUACUGACGCUGAGGCGCGAAAGCGUGGGGAGCAAACAGG